rnacentral:snRNA from 1 species
UUGCUUCAGCAGCACAUAUACUAAAAUUGGAAUGAUACAGAGAUUAGCAUGGCCCCUGUUUAAGGAUGACAUGCAAAUUCGUGACAUGUUCCAUAUUUUU